AUUAUUAUAUAAAUGUCUGAUUACGACAGAGAUUAUUACAUUUCCUGACUUUUGAUAUGUUCGCUGCUAGGAUAGAGAGAUUGUAGGAAUUGUUCUUGCGUGGACUUAAUGAGAUAAUAGAUAUGGUUGGGAUGCCUAGAGCUACUUUAUUCUUUGUUCAGGGGGGACUGAAAUGGCUCUUCGCAGCCAGUGGGUUUGAGAAAAACCCCUCUUGGAAUCAAAUUAAAGGCCACUAAAUCACGUGUCACAUAGUGGAGUCCCCACAAAUUCUUCUGUUGUCUCAUACACACACUUCCAUUUGUCUGGCUUGCAUGUGAGAAGGUAAUUGGCUCAGCUGCUCAAGUAAGGUUUUUUGAGUCUAUAUAAGGAGGGUCCGCUCCUUCUUGAUUAAGUCAGGACAAAAGAAAGCAUAGGUUCUCUCCAUGCGCAGAUCUUCAAGGCACUGGCUGUUCACUCCCCCUCAAGGGCUUCCUGUUUGCCCAAUCUGGUAAUGAUGGUUUUGUGUUUUAAGACAAAACAUAUACUACCAAGUAUCGAGGCAGGCUGGGGGCUCUUUUGGGGGUUUAAACAGGUUCUGUCUUGCUUACAAAGGCUCUCCGUAGUCUCAGGAUGGCAAUCGUUGCUCGCUCUCCCUCAGGGCUUCCAACGCAGUAAGCAGGUACGUGCAUGUCAGCAUAUUCUCGCUGCAGGCUCGAGGUCUUUGGUGAGAGUAGUGAUCAAAAGCUGUCAUGAUUUUGGCAGACAAGAAAAAACAAUAUCAUCUGUAAAUUCUUUGCUGGUAAUUAAUCCUACCUGCAGGUAUCUCCUCUUGCAAGAUUUUUUGGAUUAAAAAAAAAGAGUUUUUCGUUUCAUUUUAGUGGCUGGAUAUAUAGAAAUCACUCAAGCAUAUAGUAAUAGUUCAUGUUGUGAAAUAGCUAGAAAGGAUUUUUGUCACUUCAUCCAUUAAUCUUAGUUCUAGAAACGAAAACAUCGAGAGGAAAUCAUUAACUAGUAAGAUUUCGUGUCAACAAAACAGAAAGGCAUUACAAGGGAAACAAAUUGGUCUUUGUGAUCCUUUCAUGGGAUAUCGAGAAGAGCUUCUGUUUUUUGUAUUUCUCUUGAUAUAUGAAAUAAACGUGCAAGAAAAGACCAUCAACAGAAAAUUAGUGUCUUUGCUAAAUUGUAGAAAAUAUGUAUGGUUGUCGUUCAAGCACCGAUCAAGGAUUUUUCCAAUUGACGUUGGAUUUUUCCAGUUAAUCAAGGAUCAAUCUUAACUAGCUUGCAGUUAACUACGAUCUAUGUCUUCGCUUCUCCAACAGUUAUUCUUCGAAAGAGCCACGCACAACAGACUUGCUCCUAUGCACCCAAGAAAGCUUUCCGUCCUCUUCAAGGUAGUGAAACUGAAAGAUACUCUUAAAAACAAUAAAGGCAAACAACAUUUCUUAAUAAACGCAGAAACCUCCUGAGGCAUGCCUCGAAGGCGAAUCUAAGACGCGAAUUAAUCUGGGCUACGCCUUCAGACGUGACAUAUAGCUUGCGACUUCUAAGCCUUAUCCCGGUGCCUAUCCGACUGGAUCAUCCUUUGGCCAGCUUACUCCCCAAAAGCAGAUGGGAUGUGACCCGCCGGUGCUUAGGGGCCAGCAACUGCUUGUUCCUCGCUUGGGGUGGAGAUGGUGCUACAGGAGGUGUUUUGGUGUUGGUGUGCAGGUGCUCAGGUGCAGUAGGCUGGCUGGUGAAUGAACAAGGAAGUCAAAUGCCUCUUGUAAUUUCAAGUUUUGCCGUCACUGACUUUUCUCCUCUCUCCCUUUGGCUGUGAAACCUAUCUUCUUGAAGAAAGAGAGAGCCGCUGAUAAUAAACAUUUCAUACGAAAAUACAAUUUUUUAUUUUUAUUUGUUUAAAUCUCAACACCUGGCUUUCUUUGAAAAAGGAUAUAGUGAAUCAAAAGAAAGGUUUGCUUU